rnacentral:rRNA from 1 species
AACGUACGCUGGCGGCACGCCUAACACAUGCAAGUCGAACGAAGUAGCAAUACUUAGUGGCAGACGGGUGAGUAACAUGUAGGUAUCUGCCCUUUGGCCUGGAAUAACACGAGGAAACUUGUGCUAAUACCGGAUAAGUCUUUACAGAGAAAGCUUUAUGCACCAUUGGAUGAGCCUGCACUUGAUUAGUUUGUUGGUGGGGUAAUGGCCUACCAAGACUGUGAUCAAUAGCUGAUUUGAGAGGAUGAUCAGCCACAUUGGGACUGAGACACGGCCCAAACUCCUACGGGAGGCAGCAGUGGGGAAUCUUGCACAAUGGAGGAAACUCUGAUGCGGCGAUGCCGCGUGAGUGAAGAAGGCCCUUGGGUUGUAAAGCUCUUUCGUCGGGGAAGAAAAUGACUGUACCCGAAUAAGAAGGUCCGGCUAACUUCGUGCCAGCAGCCGCGGUAAUACGAAGGGACCUAGCGUAGUUCGGAAUUACUGGGCUUAAAGAGUUCGUAGGUGGUUGAAAAAGUUAGUGGUGAAAUCCCAGAGCUUAACUCUGGAACUGCCAUUAAAACUUUUCAGCUAGAGUAUGAUAGAGGAAAGCAGAAUUUCUAGUGUAGAGGUGAAAUUCGUAGAUAUUAGAAAGAAUACCAAUUGCGAAGGCAGCUUUCUGGAUCAUUACUGACACUGAGGAACGAAAGCAUGGGUAGCGAAGAGGAUUAGAUACCCUCGUAGCCCAUGCCGUAAACGAUGUGUGUUAGACGUUGGAAAUUUAUUUUCAGUGUCGCAGGGAAACCGAUAAACACACCGCCUGGGGAGUACGACCGCAAGGUUAAAACUCAAAUGAAUUGACGGGGACCCGCACAAGUAGUGGAGCAUGUGGUUUAAUUCGAAGAUACGCGCAGAACCUUACCAACACUUGACAUGUUCGUCGCGACUCUAAGAGAUUAGAGUUUUCGGUUCGGCCGGACGAAACACAGGUGCUGCAUGGCUGUCGUCAGCUCGUGUCGUGAGAUGUUGGGUUAAGUCCCGCAACGAGCGCAACCCUCACUUUUAGUUGCCAUCAUUAAGUUGGGCACUCUGAAAGAACUGCCAGUGAUAAGCUGGAGGAAGGUGGGGAUGACGUCAAGUCCUCAUGGCCCUUACGUGUUGGGCUACACACGUGCUACAAUGGUAUCUACAACAGGAAGCAAGACUGCGAAGUUAAGCAAAUCCCUAAAAGAUACCUCAGUUCGGAUUGCACUCUGCAACUCGAGUGCAUGAAGCUGGAAUUACUAGUAAUCGUGGAUCAGCGUGCCACGGUGAAUGCGUUCCCGGGUCU